rnacentral:misc_RNA from 1 species
AAGGCCUCGUUGGGUGUUUGUCUUUGUAUUCUCUAUAGUGAGUUUCUUCCUCUGGUUUGUUUCCUGUGGCCUCUUAACCGUUCUUUGGGCUUUUGGCAUAGGUCUUCUUGCCACUCUUGCUCAUGCAAGCUUCAGGAGUCCUAAUUUGAAGGCUCGCCUCAAUACAUUUCGUGAAGAAUUCCGAGCUGUCUGGCGCAACUAUAGUGAGCUGUAGCUUCAGUUGAGUUCCGCUUGCUCUGCCAAUCUGCAAUUAGAUGUACUGAUUCACUCAUUGUAUUUUUCGUUGGCUUUAUCUGUAAAUUAGCAUUGUCUAAUCAGCCUUGAAAUAGUAACAAGUAUGUGGUUCAGCAGUUUACAUGCUUGUGGGAUAAAGUCUGUUUUCCUUUCUCAAAAGAAAAGGAAAAUACUUGUCGAUCCUGUACUUCUGAUUAAGAAAUGCUUACCUACUUGAUUAAGAAAUUACUAGUGAAAUGUUGAUGUGAUAGCCAAAUGGAUUGAUCUGUUUAGUGGAAGUUUAGAUAUAAGCUAAAGAUCAUAUGAACUACAACAAGG